GAUGAAGAACGCAGCGAAAUGCGAUACGUAAUGUGAAUUGCAAAUUCAGUGAAUCAUCGAGUCUUUGAACGCACAUUGCGCCCCCUGGUAUUCCGGGGGGCAUGCCUGUCCGAGCGUCAUUGCUGCCCUCAAGCACGGCUUGUGUGUUGGGCCCCGUCCUCCGAUCCCGGGGGACGGGCCCGAAAGGCAGCGGCGGCACCGCGUCCGGUCCUCGAGCGUAUGGGGCUUUGUCACCCGCUCUGUAGGCCCGGCCGGCGCUUGCCGAUCAACCCAAAUUUUUAUCCAGGUUGACCUCGGAUCAGGUAGGGAUACCCGCUGAACUUAAGCAUAUCCAAUAAGCGGAGGA
rnacentral:misc_RNA from 1 species